AUGUAUGGAGGGUUCCACCCCAAAUCCAGCAUCCUGAGACUGUACGCUAGCCGCAAGGAAGGAGGCCGAGGACUAGUGAGCGUGAGAGCCACUAUCCAGGACGAAACAUCCAAGAUUCAUAAGUACAUCAAGGAUAAGGCCCCGACAGAUGACGUGCUGAGUGAAUGUCUCAGGCAGUGGAGAACAGAGGAUGAGAUGCUGGAAGAGGGACCAUCAUGGGAGGACAAGCCCUUGCACGGGAUGUACCACCGGAACAUAACUGAAGUGGCUGAUCUCAACAAAUCCUACCAAUGGCUUGAAAGGGCUGGGCUGAAGGACAGCACAGAGGCACUCAUCCUGGCCGCACAGGAGCAGGCCCUGAGCACCAGAGCCAUAGAGGCCCAGAUCUACCACACCAGACAAGACCCAAGGUGUAGACUGUGCAAAGAGGCCCCAGAGACGGUCCAGCACAUAACUGCAGGGUGUAAGAUGCUGGCAGGCAAAGCAUACAUGGAACGCCAUAACCAAGUGGCUGGCAUAGUAUACAGGAACAUCUGCGCGGAGUAUGGACUGGAAACCCCAAGGUCAAAGUGGGAAACACCUCCCAAGGUGGUAGAGAACGAGCGAGCCAAGAUCCUGUGGGACUUCCAGAUCCAGACUGACAGAAUGGUAAUGGCGAACCAACCAGACAUUGUGGUGGUGGAUAAAGAGCAGAGGAAAGCCGUAGUGGUGGAUGUGGCAAUACCAAGCGAUGGCAACAUCAGGAAAAAGGAACAUGAGAAACUAGAGAAAUACCAAGGGCUCAGAGAAGAACUGGAGAAGGCUUGGAAGGUGAAGGCCAGUGCCUGUGGUGAUCGGAGCACUAGGGGCUGUGACCCCCAAACUGGAGGAGUGGCUACGACAGAUCCCUGGAAAAACAUCCGAAAUCUCAGUCCAGAAAAGUGCAAUCCUAGGAACAGCAAGGAUACUGCGCAGAACCCUCAAGCUCCCUGGCCUCUGGUAGAGGACCCGAGCUUGGAAAGUGGAUGA
rnacentral:lncRNA from 1 species